rnacentral:rRNA from 1 species
CAGUCGCCACGGGAAUACGGAGGGUGCAAGCGUUAAUCGGAAUUACUGGGCGUAAAGCGCACGCAGGCGGUUUGUUAAGUCAGAUGUGAAAUCCCCGAGCUUAACUUGGGAACUGCAUUUGAAACUGGCAAGCUAGAGUCUUGUAGAGGGGGGUAGAAUUCCGGGUGUAGCGGUGAAAUGCGUAGAGAUCUGGAGGAAUACCGGUGGCGAAGGCGGCCCCCUGGACAAAGACUGACGCUCAUGUGCGAAAGCGUGGGGAGCAAACAGGAUUAGAUACCCCGGUAGUCCCUGUCUCUUAUAC